AAGGAUUUGUUUUCUCUAGUCUUUAGGGUUAGUUUAAAGUUUUCUUUGACCCUCUGUUUUGGUUCUGUUUAAUUUUCCACAGGGAAAAAAAAAAAGAAACAGAAGUUUUGGAGACAAGAAGAUUUGCCCAGAAACGACAACAUGAUUUGUUUGUCGUUUAAGGUUUUGAUCUGCAAGUUUUGGAAGAUGAAGGACUGGUCUUUCAGAGGCAUUUGUUCUUAGAAAAAAAGCCAACUUUGGUUGGUUGCUCUUUUUACCAUUUUCCUCAGGCAGUUUCAGUCAAAGUUUAAUUACAAGACAAAAGAAGAGAUGUCAUCGUCAAACUCUCCUUGCGCGGCGUGCAAGUUUCUUCGUCGAAAAUGCACCCAAGAAUGCGUCUUUGCACCUUAUUUCCCACCAGACAAUCCCCAAAAAUUCGCCAAUGUUCACAAAGUAUUCGGUGCCAGCAAUGUGGCCAAACUUUUAAACGAACUCAAUGCUUCCCAACGUGAAGACGCUGUCAACUCUUUAGCCUAUGAAGCUGAGGCUCGUCUCCGAGACCCUGUCUAUGGCUGUGUUGGCCUGAUCUCCAUCUUACAACAUAGGCUAAAACAAAUGCAACACGAUCUUAACAAUGCCAAGAAGGAACUGGCUACUUAUAUUGGUCCGCAAGCUAUGCUUCCUAUUUUACAACCUGAAGUUUUUUUGCAGCAACAUGUUGGGAACGCUUCUUCUUCUGCUGUGAUGCAACAUAAUAUGAUGCCAAUGAUGGGGAUUCCUACAGCUGCCGCGGCGGCGGCUUCGGCUUCACAUGGGGGGCAGUUGGUGAUAAGAGAACCACAACAGCAACAGGUUUUUGAGGCUCAGCAACAAUUGGCUGCGGUGGUAGGAGCGACGGAACAACAAGAUAUGUUUAGAGGUUAUGAACAACAUCAUCAGGGUCAAGAGGUUGUAAGGUUUAAUAGUGGGUUUGAAGGGGCUACUUCAGUUACUGCAACAGGGUUUAAUCAGAUAACAACUGCAGCUACCAUGUCACCUUCAUUGGCUUUAGGAAGUUUUGAUAACCCUUAUCAGAUUCAGACACAACAACAAGAUCCUCAUCCUCAUCAUCAUGGGGGUCAUCCAUUUCAAGUUCAGCUUUUGCUUCAGCCACAACAAGGACAACCACAGCAACAGGCACAGCAAAAUCAAAAUCAACAAACACAGCAAAACCAGCAGCAACAACAAAGGUCAGAAAGCGAGGAGGGUAGGAGUAUUGGUCCUUGUUGAAUAAUAAAAAAAAAGAAACCUCUUUUUUUUUUCCUGUUUGCAGAUUGAGUGCCUGCCUUCCCGCUUUUUCAUGACAGCAAAUUUUCUUUCUAGCUGAUAUCUGCCGCAUACAAAUUAACACCAAAGAGAAAUGGUUGAGAGACUGAGAUUGGUCUCAGAGAUCUGAAGUCAGCAUUGGGUUUUUUGGGUAUGAUUCAGAGCUUCUUCCAUUGGAACGUACACUUAAAGAUGUAAGGAUCUGCUUUCGUCUUGGGAGUACAGUUUUCACCUGUUGGUUUAGUAGAGAAGUUGGUAAUGGGAAUCGUUCCUAAAAGAAAGCCUUUUCUUUUUGUUUUACUUUGAAUUUCACUUCUCAUCAUCUUAGAAAUUAUAUAUAUUAUGUAAUCAUCAUCUUUUGUAGCUGUAGUAAGAAUUAUUGUUAUACUUUCUAUAAAUAAUAACAGUGGAUGAUAUUAAUUUGGUGGACAAUUUAAUUUUGGAGAUUGA